rnacentral:rRNA from 1 species
AGUGGGGGAUAGCUCGCCGAAAGGCGAAUUAAUACCGCAUAUGACAAGGGAAGACAUCUUUCCGAAGUCAAAGUCGCAAGACGCUUCCUGAUGAACUCGCGGCCUAUCAGCUAGUUGGUGAGGUAACGGCUCACCAAGGCAAUGACGGGUAGCUGGUCUGAGAGGACGACCAGCCACACUGGAACUGAGACACGGUCCAGACACCUACGGGUGGCAGCAGUCGAGAAUUUUUCACAAUGGGGGAAACCCUGAUGGAGCGACGCCGCGUGGAGGAUGAAGGUCUUCGGAUUGUAAACUCCUGUCAUGCGAGAACAAGAAAGUGAUAGUAUCGCAAGAGGAAGAGACGGCUAACUCUGUGCCAGCAGCCGCGGUAAUACAGAGGUCUCAAGCGUUGUUCGGAUUCAUUGGGCGUAAAGGGUGCGUAGGUGGCGUGGAAAGUUGAGUGUGAAAUCCUAGGGCUUAACCUUAGAACUGCACUCAAUACUCCCAUGCUAGAGGAAUGUAGAGGAGAGUGGAAUUCACGGUGUAGCAGUGAAAUGCGUAGAUAUCGUGAGGAAGACCAGUUGCGAAGGCGACUCUCUGGGCAUUUCCUGACACUGAGGCACGAAGGCCAGGGGAGCAAACGGGAUUAGAUACCCCGGUAGUCCUGGCAGUUAAACGGUGCACGUUUGGUGUGGGCGGGCUUCAUACCCCGUCCGUGCCGGA